UACAGAGGGGGCAAGCGUUGUUCGGAAUUACUGGGCGUAAAGGGCGCGUAGGCGGCUUGACAAGUCACUUGUGAAAUCUCCGGGCUUAACUCGGAACGGCCAAGUGAAACUGUCAUGCUAGAGUGCAGAAGGGGCAAUCGGAAUUCUUGGUGUAGCGGUGAAAUGCGUAGAUAUCAAGAGGAACACCUGAGGUGAAGACGGGUUGCUGGGCUGACACUGACGCUGAGGCGCGAAAGCCAGGGGAGCAAACGGG
rnacentral:rRNA from 1 species